rnacentral:rRNA from 1 species
CAGUCGCCACGGUAAUACGAAGGGGGCUAGCGUUGUUCGGACUUACUGGGCGUAAAGGGCGCGUAGGCGGACUGAUAAGUCAGGGGUGAAAUCCCAAGGCUCAACCUUGGAACUGCCUCUGAUACUGUUUGUCUUGAGUUCGAGAGAGGUAAGUGGAACUGCGAGUGUAGAGGUGAAAUUCGUAGAUAUUCGCAAGAACACCAGUGGCGAAGGCGGCUUACUGGCUCGAAACUGACGCUGAGGCGCGAAAGCGUGGGGAGCAAACAGGAUUAGAUACCCCUGUAGUCCCUGUCUCUUAUAU